GGCUAACUGCGUGCCAGAAGCGAGGAGAAAACGGGGGGGGCAAACGUGAAUCGGAAUUACUGGGCGGAAAGCGCAAGCAGGCGGUCAAUUAAGUCAGAUGUGAAAGCCCCGAGCUUAACUUGGGAAUUGCAUCUGAAACUGGGUGGCUAGAGUCUUGUAGAGGGGGGUAGAAUUCCAUGUGGAGCGGUGAAAUGCGUAGAGAUGUGGAGGAAUACCGGUGGCGAAGGCGGCCCCCUGGACAAAGACUGACGCUCAGGUGCGAAAGCGUGGGGAGCAAACAGGAUUAGAUACCCGGGAGUC
rnacentral:rRNA from 1 species